rnacentral:lncRNA from 1 species
CUGAGAACCGUGUGUGGGGCCAGCCUAACUGAAGGAAAUGUAAACAGAGUGUAAGCAGGACCCUUGUCUGUGGUACUAUGAAGUAUUUCUUUGACAGUCUGCAAUGGAGUCCUGCUUUUUGUUUCAUGAAGGUAUCACCAACUGUGAAUUCCACACAGGUUGAGCAGAGAAGAUUUUACCACAGCUGCUACAGUCAAAGGAAAAUUGGCAGUUCAUUGUUGCUGUGGUGAGCCCAGCCCAGGCAGGACUGCAUAGGAAUGCAUAGCUUUUCUGUUACAGAACUCAUUGGGUAUUCUCAUGAUGUCCACUAUCUUUUUUUUUAAGAUUUUAUUAUUUAUUUAUUCAUAAGAGACAGAGAGAGAGGUAGAGUCAUAGGGAGAAGCAGGCUCCAUGGGGGGAGGCCAAUGUAGGACUUAAUCCCAGGACCCUGGAAUCACACCCUGAACUGAAGGCAGAUGCUCAACCACUGAGCCACCCAGGCGUCCUGAUGUCCACCAUCUUUAGUCCAUUACUCCCAUACAAUCCUAAGGGAGCUCCCAGUGAGCUGGCUCUGAACCUACUUCUCCUCUUUUCCUAACCAAUCCUAGGUGCUAGCCAGUUGGUAGUUUCUGCUAACCCACGAUGGUUUAAUUAUAUUAAUAGCAAUGUGUUUCUUCCUUCAGACUAUCAGGUGGUUCAAGCCAUUCAAAACUGCAGGGCUAUCCGCACGCAGAUUUUUAUUUCCUGCAAGCCCCAUGGUGAAACCACAAGGAACAUCAUUGAGACUAUGCUGUCCUCCAGACUCAGCUAAGAAGCUCUUUGGUGAGUCUUUUGUUCUGAGAAAAGCUGUGCCUGUUGAUCUGUUCUCCCACACCAUGCACUGCAAGCUGGUGCUCCUCCUCACUUGCGAAUCAGCCUCCUAUGAUACUGCAGGCUCUUUAUUAAGGC